AAGCCCUCAGUAGCUGAAUUAACCCAGCUACCUUUAUUUGCAAACAGAAGGACUCAAUUUAUACAGAGAGGUAGAGAACUAUCCUCAUGCCCAGAAUGAAGCUAUGAAUCCUGAUUAUGCUCAAGUGUAAGGGCAAAGACUGAGGUAUGCACUGAAGAGAAAUGAAAAGUUUCCAGUGAGGUUUGUGUAGAACCCUAUUUCUGAGCUUGGC